CCUACGGGAGGCAGCAGUGGGGAAUAUUGCGCAAUGGGCGAAAGCCUGAAGCAGCGACGCCGCGUGAGGGAUGACGGUCCUCGGAGCGGUAACCUCCUUUUGCAGGGGAGAACGGUCGCUGUGCUAAUCAGCAGUGAAUUGACGGUACCUGCAAAGGAAGCACCGGCUAACUCCGUGCCACCAGCCGCGGUAAUACGGCGGGUGCGAGCGUUGAUCGGAUUUACUGGGCGUAAAGCGUGCGUAGGCGGUAUGUCAAGUCAAGGGGUAAAACGCCGGGCUCAACGUGGGAAGUGCCUUUGAAACUGGAGAACUGGAGUGUAUGAGAGGAAAGUGGAAUUCCAGGUGUAGGAGUGAAAUGCGUAGAUAUCUGGAGGAACAUCGGUGGCGAAGGCGACUAUCUGGCACAUAACUGACGCUGAGGAGCGAAAGCGUGGGUAGCAAACAGGAUUAGAUACCCGAGUAGUC
rnacentral:rRNA from 1 species